rnacentral:rRNA from 1 species
AGUUGCCCUUAGUACGAGAGGACCGGGGUGAACAUACCACUGGUGGACCGGUUGUAGCGCCAGCUGCAGUGCCGGGUAGCUAAGUAUGGAAGAGAUAACCGCUGAAAGCAUCUAAGUGGGAAACUCGCCUCAAAACUAGUUCUUCCUUUAGAGCCGUGGUAGACCACCACGUUGAUAGGCUGGAUGUGUAAGCACAGUAAUGUGUUUAGCUGACCAGUACUAAUAGCUCAAUUGGCUUGAUUUAUG